GCGGGAAGAGCUCAAAUUUGAAAUCUGGUGGACUUCGUUCAUCCGAGUUGUAAUCUAUAGAAGUGUUUUCCGUGCUGGCUCAUGUACAAGUCCCUUGGAACAGGGCGUCAUAGAGGGUGAGAAUCCCGUACUUGACAUGAACCACCAGUGCUCUGUGAUACAUUUUCAACGAGUCGAGUUGUUUGGGAAUGCAGCUCAAAAUGGGUGGUAAAUUCCAUCUAAAGCUAAAUAUUGGCGAGAGACCGAUAGCGAACAAGUACCGUGAGGGAAAGAUGAAAAGCACUUUGGAAAGAGAGUUAAACAGUAUGUGAAAUUGUUAAAAGGGAAACGAUUGAAGUCAGUCGUGCCUUGUGGACUCAGCCGGUUAUGCCGGUGUACUUCCACUUGGCGGGGUCAACAUCAGUUUUGCUCGCUGGAAAAGGUCGCAAGGAAGGUAGCACUCUCGGGUGAACUUAUAGCCUUGCGUCGUAUACGGCGGGUGGGACUGAGGAACGCAGCAUGCCUUUUUGGCCGGGGUUCGCCCACGUACAUGCUUAGGAUGUUGACAUAAUGGCUUUAAACGACCCGUCUU
rnacentral:rRNA from 1 species